rnacentral:tRNA from 1 species
AGAAAUAAGUUAAUCAAAAAUAAGCUUCUAACUUAAUUUUUAAGCGAUGAAAUAUCGUUUUUAUUUC